rnacentral:rRNA from 1 species
GAUGAACGCUGGCGGCGUGUCUGGACAUGCAAGUCGAACGGACAUUUUUUGGAAAGUUCUUCGGAACUGGAAUCUAAAUGUUAGUGGCGGACGGGUGAGUAACGCGUGAGCAAUCUGCCUUUCAGAGGGGGAUAACAGCCGGAAACGGCUGCUAAUACCGCAUAAUGCAUUGGAUUCGCAUGUUUCUGAUGCCAAAGAUUUUAUCGCUGAAAGAUGAGCUCGCGUCUGAUUAGCUAGUUGGCGGGGUAACGGCCCACCAAGGCGACGAUCAGUAGCCGGACUGAGAGGUUGAACGGCCACAUUGGGACUGAGACACGGCCCAGACUCCUACGGGAGGCAGCAGUGGGGAAUAUUGCGCAAUGGGGGCAACCCUGACGCAGCAACGCCGCGUGAUUGAUGAAGGUCUUCGGAUUGUAAAAAUCUUUAAUCAGGGACGAAGAAAAUGACGGUACCUGAAGAAUAAGCUCCGGCUAACUACGUGCCAGCAGCCGCGGUAAUACGUAGGGAGCAAGCGUUAUCCGGAUUUACUGGGUGUAAAGGGCGUGUAGGCGGGCUUGCAAGUUGGAAGUGAAAUCUCGGGGCUUAACCCCGAAACUGCUUUCAAAACUGCUAGUCUUGAGUGAUGGAGAGGCAGGCGGAAUUCCCAGUGUAGCGGUGAAAUGCGUACAUAUUGGGAGGAACACCAGUGGCGAAGGCGGCCUGCUGGACAUUAACUGACGCUGAGGCGCGAAAGCGUGGGGAGCAAACAGG